rnacentral:lncRNA from 12 species
CGGAGCUGAGCAGAUCCCGGAGCUGCAGAGAUCCCAAGCCAGGAUGGGGGCUUUACUGAGCCGCACUGUGGAGAUCUGCAUCUCCAACAGAACCGACAACAUCACCCUCAGCAACACCAGGACCUUCUUCGAAUGUGGCUUCUGCCACGUACACCCCAAGUCACGCCUGGGGCCCGGUUCCCGUGACUGCCUUCAAUUCCGGGGCUCCUUCCCGUUCUGGGGCGUGGCUGGGAUCCUGGUCUACGAGGCCGAGUCCUUCACCUUGGCCAUCUACUUCUCCAACCCCAUCGACUACAACAAGUUCUCCGUGGAGCUGGGGCUGGAGCUGUCCAUGAGCAAGGCCCACCGGGGCAGUCUGCCCGGCACCUACGCCCGCAUGGCCAAGGGCGCCUACUCCAGCUCCUUCCAGGACGCCAAGUUCAGCCGCAUCGCCGUGAACGAGAGCCGAGGGAUUGUUGAGCUGAGCGACGGCCCCGUCAAGGUGUCGGCCGUCAUGUCCUACACCGCGUUCUCCGUCCUCGAGGUGGUGCUGGAGGAGCAGUGGGGGACUGUGAGAAUGGGCCAAGAUUGACACCCCCCAUGAACGGCUGCCAGGAGAUGUGAGAACCUGAGGAACCUUCAGCGGGGCCUCCUGGACAGCCCUGGAACCACGCGGAGGACCUGAAAACCCUGCAGACACCCCCAGAAGUCCUUAGGUAGAUCUAGAACCCCAUAGAGACCCCUAGAACCCCAUAAGCACCUCUAGAACCCCGUAAGCACUUCUAGAACCCCAUAGGCACCUCUAGAACCUUGUAGGCAUGUCUGGAAACCCAAAGUGUUCCUUAUAACCCAAUAGGCACUUCCAGAACCCCAUAGGCAUGUUUAAAACCACACAGAGAACCCGAGAACCCCGUAGACACUUCCAGAACUUCAUAGGCAUGUCUGAAACCCCGCAGAGACCCCUAGAACCCCACGGACACCUCUAGAACCCCGUAGGCACUUCUAGAACUCUCUAGGCACGUCUAAAACCCCAUAGAGAUUUCUAGAACCCCAUAGAGACAGCUAUAGACACCUCUAGAACCCCGUAGAAAGCUCUAGAACCCCACAGACGCUCCAGAAGAUCCUGCAGCAGAACCUCGAGGUCUCCAGGAGAACCUCGGAGAAACCUCCGGAACCUUCUGCGCAGAACGGACACCCCGGGCUGGGAACGUUCCAGACCCCUCUGCUCUCCCAUCCCCCGUCCCCCCAAACCCUGAACUCCCUCACCCCUCUGUUCCUUUGCUCAAUAAAAUGGGAAAAAUUUACACUUGGCCCACAGAAUUGAAAAUGAAAAUAAAAAUAAAAAUGCGUUUUUAAAAAAAGGAUUUGAGAUUCGGGAGGGACCUUGGAAUUGGGAGGGGCUGGGAUGGGGAUUUGGGAUUGAUGGGGCAAGGAUCUGGGAUUUGGGGGGAUUUGGGGGGCCCUGGGGUCAGGGGCUUUGGGAGGGAACGGUUACACCAGUGACACUGGAGAAUUGAACCAGUUGGACCAGUUAAACUGGUUCUGGUAGCGAACAUUUUGUGCUCUUUUCUCCCCUCACGUUUCCUGCUG